rnacentral:lncRNA from 1 species
UGCAAUGCAACCAUUUUAUUUAUUAAUUUCACCAUCUUACACCUUUAAAAUGUGGAACCCUCAUUGUUUAAAAAAAAUUGGAACCUUCCAAUGUUAUUAUAAAUAAUCAGGUCUCGCACAAGACAAACAGAGACUGAUGAAAGAGGAACUACAUAGGCGCCGUAUAUAAACGGAAUCUAAAAAUAUCAAAAUAGACACUAACUAAUAGAGAUCUACUACUAAUAUCAUACUUAAAAAGACAUUAACUAAUAGAGGUCUACUUCUAAUAUCAUAAUUAGAAGACACACCCAUAAAGUUGCAGCUAGACACUAACUCCCAAUGUUAUUAUUAUAGUAGUAAUAAUAAUACCAUCAAUCAAUUAGCACAACAAUUACAAUUACACGAAUAGUCGUCGUGACAUUUUCCAGUUGCAUGUACUGUAUUGCAUUCAAUCUUGCAAUAUACUUUGCAAAUCAAAACCUCCCAUUUACGACAGAAAUGAGAUUUAAUGAUUGAACAUGGUUUUGCCUCGAUCAUCAUCAUUUGAUUUCCUGCAAUAAAUAGCCAACCGGACAUAAACAUCGUUAGUAAAACAUCACUAACUCAUAAAACUUUAAAUUAUACAACAAAAAAAAAAUCAAUAAUAAUAUUUCAUACCAAAAUUCAUCGAGAUAACAAGCAAAAGAAUGGAAAAACA